rnacentral:precursor_RNA from 14 species
AAUCCCUUUCCACCUGGUGGGUACUGGCCUCGGUGCUGGUGGAGCAGUGAGCACGCCAUACAUUAUAUCUGUGACACCUGCCACCCAGCCCAAGGCCCCUAGGCCCACAUACUUCUGGAGGGGA